GACAGAGGUCCCGAGCGUUAGGCGGAAUCACUGGGCUUAAAGCGUGUGUAGGCGGAUCGUUAAGUACCUUGUGAAAUCCCACGGCUUAACCGUGGAACUGCUUGGUAUACUGGCGAUCUUGAGCCACUUAGGGGCAACCGGAACAAACGGUGGAGCGGUGAAAUGCGUAGAUAUCGGGAGGAACACCAGUGGCGCAAGCGGCUGACUGGCCGAGACCUGACGCUGAGACGCGACGGCGUGGGGAGCAAACCGG
rnacentral:rRNA from 1 species